AAGAAAAAAAAAAAAAGAAAAAAGAGACUUUCCUGUUUGUCACCCCCAAGCAAAGGUGUGACACAAACAUGAUCACAGGACUAGGGAUGAAAGGGAAUCCAUCUGCCCAAAGAAGCUGAGUCUCCAGAUAGUAGCCCUAGUACCAAAAGUGAUAAAACUCAGGCACAUGGUUCCAUUAGGGGCAGCAUUCUGAGAGGUUAGGAGCUAGAGGGGGGGCAGGGAGAAGGAAGCCAGACUAGAAGAGAGAAUGCCAACAGUGUCAUGGAAACCAAAGAACAAGUGAGAACCUGGGAGAAAGUACUUGGCCAUGAGACAUGCCUGCUGAAUAAUCCCAGACACAUGCCAAAUUCCAGAGUCAGGAAACAUGGAAUAUGCCAAGCUUUACCAGCAGUCAAAUCUAAUCAGAAUAGCUCUUCUCCCCUACGGGGUCAGGGAAGACGGAACCUGACAUUUGGCUGACAAGCCUCCUAGAGCUUGGUAAUACGGAGCUACACAAGAUUGGACAGCUACAUUUUUCUCCAGCUUUCCCAACCAGGUACCUGCCAGGUACCUGGCAAAAAUUGGGAGUACAGUAAUGGGCACUGCCACCACCCACUCAACAUAGACCUUCCGCAGCAUGCAUCUGUGGAAAGGGGAUCUGCCAACGUUUACCGGCUGCCAAAUCCACCAGAAAUAAUUCUCCCACUCAAGAAAGCUAGAAGAACUGAGGCUUGCCACUCUACUGCUUAGCCUGCUGGAACAUCUUCUCUGGAACACAUAGCUGUGAGGCAAUAGGUGCAGGCCCUAGUACAAAUGCCAUGCCCUCAUGCAAGAUUCUGAACUAACCUCUGCUGAAUAAAUGUUCCUUAAUGUGUCA
rnacentral:lncRNA from 1 species